rnacentral:rRNA from 1 species
AGUGAACGCUGGCGGUAGGCCUAACACAUGCAAGUCGAACGGCAGCACAGUAAGAGCUUGCUCUUACGGGUGGCGAGUGGCGGACGGGUGAGGAAUACAUCGGAAUCUACUUUUUCGUGGGGGAUAACGUCGGGAAACUUACGCUAAUACCGCAUACGACCUACGGGUGAAAGCAGGGGAUCUUCGGACCUUGCGCGAUUCAAUGAGCCGAUGUCGGAUUAGCUAGUUGGCGGGGUAACGGCCCACCAAGGCGACGAUCGGUAGCGGGUCUGAGGGGAUGAUCGGCCACACGGGAACGGAGAAAGGGCCCAGACUCCAACGGGGGGCAGAGGGGGGGAAUAUUGGACAAGGGGCGCAAGCCUGAUCCAGCCAGACGGCGGGGGUGAAGAAGGCCUCCGGGUUGUAAAGCCCUUUUGUGGGGAAAGAAAAGCAGCAGGUUAAUACCCCGCUGUUCGGACGGUACCCAAAGAAUAAGCACCGGCUAACUUCGU